UCGUGUGCAGCGCUGCUAGAGAAUUGUCGAGCGGGCUGUGUGCCUCAGAAGGGUCGCCUGAUCCCGCGGGCUAGCCAGGUUGCCAAGGGCCACCCUGGGCUUCAGCUCCCAGUGGUCCUCAGCGUUGCACGCGGCCCGAAUCUGGCCGAUCUGCAGGCUGUCAGUGACCAGGCUGGAGACCUUGGACCGAAAUUAACAUCAGUGCCGGCCGGGCCUUGCUGAUAAGGAACAUUUCUGGUGACCUACCAAGAGACUCAAACUUCUCCAUGAACCACAACAAGAGGCGACAGAUGAGACAGCUACAAAACAGAAUGGAAAGACUUCGAAUCAAGGAUCAGAAUCUGGACAGAAAAAAACGUUCUUGGCGUGAUGCCUCCUGAACACCCAGCAAGCAGCGAUGCCAACUAGCCGUGAAGAAGUAUUGCACAACCCUAGCACACAGGAAACUUCUGAGGCCUACAACAACGUUGUCAUAGUUUACUUUGCCUGCAUAUUAACAAAAGCGCUUUCUUGACCCACUUUUAACAAGCAGGAAACAGGCUGGUCAGGCUGGGAAAUGGGGGCAAGGUUCCCAAUUGGCCGACGGCUAAUUUUGCCCUCAGGACUACCCCUUCCCUUUCUCAGUCCAUCAGUUUUCUC